rnacentral:lncRNA from 1 species
AGAUGGGCCGGGUUUGCCUGGCAGCACUGACAGGGAUAGGGAAUGUCAGGUGUAAGUGAGAUCUCACACCCCCAGCCGCUGACCAGGCAGCAAUCCUAUCUGUCGCCCCCUUCCCAGCGCAGAGGAACCAAGAAAGGAGGGUGUUCCAACCUAUGCAUGAGGAUAUCAGGGAACACUAGGAAAGAGGUAAGGGGAGGGCUGGUGGCUGAAGAGACCACUCCAAUCCCAGGUAACUACCACCUCCUGACCCUGGUUUUCCCUCCUCUAGCCACUAAGAGUGUCUCCCUGAGUGCCCGCAUGUGGCAUCCCGUGUGUCUGCCCUGAUGCUGAUGGCUCUGGACAGGAGUGCAGCCCUCUACUAGAGACCCAGAGGACAGAAGCAGUCAGGAUGAAAUUCCAGGCAGGAGACAGACCUUACAAGACUGUCCUCCUUGUCUUGGGCACAUCACAGGCUAAAACUGGGCAGGGGUGGGGCUGCUCAUCCUGACCAGCCUCCGAGUGCUAAGUUGGGCACAAAGAUUUGCCUGGAGGGUCAAUGGAGAAGGAAGGGAAGUGGGGUGUAUGUGGCUGCCAGGCUUUUACUGCAAUGUGCCCUGGGGUGGGCGGGCGCCAGCUGGGCGCCUGCUCUCCCAAGUGGCCAGUUCUCUCAAGCAAGCUGGGCAUAUUUUAUGAGGUGAGUUAGGGGCAGGCAGUGAAGUGCUCUGUAAAUACAGAGCUGGCAAGAAUGCACCUGGACAGUCUUAAAUUGAACUCCCUGCCAGUCAGGCUUAUCAACUCAGUGCUGCUCACAUAGAACUUAACAGUUGUUGGGAUAGUAUCAGUGGUUCUGAGCCCCGAAGUGCCAAAAACUCAUGGGCUGAGCCAAUAGACUUGGCUUCUAUUUCCAGUUCCUAAGAACUGGAGGUGCUCAGGCGGGGAGGCCUGCUCCCCUGGGCUUUCAUUCCAGUGGCCUGACCCUGGGCAUUGAGUAUUACCCUCGGCAUGUUGGAACUCACCCACCUUGGGUGUGGGGAGGGUCUGGGAGCACCUGCAGCUAGGGGUAAGACUCCAGAGCAGAUUCCAGACCCUCGCCUUCAGAGAUCGGAAGCUCCUGGAGCUGUUCCAGCAAAUGGCCACAUCCCUGCCUUCAGCUCUCUGGAGGUCUCUGCAUUUGGCUACCCACUGUCCUCUCUGCUUCUCUCACACCAAACCCAGCAGCUGCCUUGUAACGGAGGAGGACUGGCUGCCCCUGACUGUUGCUGUCCCCUCUAGAAGUUACUGACAAGACUCACUCCAAUCAUGAUAAAGAUCCCAGGCCUCCCCAAACACUUGAAAGCUUCCUGAAUGAAGAGCAGAGCUGUGUUUCAUAGUUCGGGUGAUUGAGAAAGAAGCAUGAAUUCUAAAAUCAAAAGACACUAGCCCAAGAGUAAUGUAUCCUGAAUAAGGAGCCCUCUGCAAGCAUGUGACAGGUUUGGUCACCUGUGCCCUUCUCCUUGAGACUGGAAACCCCAGUCUCUCUCUGCUGGGACUACCACAGUCUUGAGAUACAGGCCAACAAGGACAAGUUUGUGUCUAUGUAAAGAAACAUCUAGCAAAACCUCAAUAAUUUGAAAUAAAUUUGCACUAAGUUAUGGAGCCCAGUGGUUUUAAGGAAUAUCAGAAAUCAUUAAUGAAUGUCUUUGAAGUGCACAUGUGCAUACACCAACAAGCUGAUCUUUUCAGUUUUUAAGACAGAGUCUCUCUGUGGCUCAUUUAGAAUUUGGUACGUAAGUUCAUUAGCUUCAAACUUUCAGUCCUCCUGCCUCGGCCUCCCACAAACGCAUGCACACAUGUGUAUACGUCAGAAGUUGGUAAAUGGUUUUCCUCUCUAACUCUGUUUAACCCAGAACUUGUCACUUGACAUUUUGGCUACACUGUCUGGACAGUGAGGCCCCAGACCAGCCUAUGUCUGCCGUCUAACUCACACCCUCACUGGAAUUAUAUUCUGUGCUACCACGCCUGGUUUUUAUUUAGGGGUCCACACUCAGGUCCUCAUGUUUGGGUAGGAAGUACUUUCCCUGCCUCUGAAUUGCUGAUGCAGGGACUUUCUGGUACAGCAGGUCUCCUGGCUAAUGCAUACAAAAGUCACCUAGAGAACGCUAUGGCUCUGCAGGGCUGGGGCUGGGCCUGAGCAACCACCGGCCAUCUACAUCCAUGUGGCUCCUGUGCUUGUGUUCCAACCUUAAGGACUUAUAUCCAGAAGCAGUUUUCACACCCGCACCACACGGGAAACCUUUACAGGCUUCUGUUCAUAGAGACUGAACGGCUGAAAAUUCAGGAUGUCUGGAGGUGCGAUGGAAGAAAAGUAAGACUUUGAUGUGACAAGUCCCAGCUGAGGUGGACCAGCCUGUGGGACUCGGGAUUCUCUGCUUAGGUUUCUGAGCUACCACAGAGGAUGUCCCUAAGGGUAAGAGGUUUGAGAGAACCUUGCUGCCCAAACUGUGGUUCACAGACCUGGGGCAUCAACAGCAUCAAGGAGUCAGGUACGAGCGCUGGAGUAUCCCUGGGCCUUGGGAUGCUCCCUGCAGCAUCCAAGUCAGCACCUGCACUCCUGCACCCCUGGUAGCCAGCCAGCCUGCAAGCCUUCAGAAGCUCAACUACAGUGGGCAAAUGCAAGGCACAGAGGGCCUUUACCCACAGCCUGAGCCUACCUCAUCCAGCAUCCUCAGAACUCUAUAACACAAAGAACACUUUCAUACAUGUAUAUUAUAUACAUAUAUUGUAUUAAACAAUAUUUUACACAUAUAUUUAUAUAUUCUUUAGAUAAUAUUUGUUUAUAAUAUAUAUAAACAAUAUAUAAAGUUUCUUUAAAUAUAUACAUAAACAAUAUGUAUAGUUUACAUAUAUUACAUAUAUGUUUAUGGUAUAUACUGUUUUUAGUUUCUGACAUGUCUUCAUUGUGUGCUGAGCACUUGGCCUGGCCCCAGGGUCCCUUUUUUCACCUCUCCUCUCAUUGAUUCCCCCUGUUCCCUUACUUAACUUCGCUUGUGUUCUUAAUCUAUAUAAUCAUGAUUAUGUAUGACUGUAUAAAAUCCAGGAACCAGAAAUGUGGGUAAACAUACAAAAUCUGUCUUUCUGUUCUGAGACUGUUUUAAUUCGUAUAAUCUGAUUGUCUCCAUUCUGUUCAUUUUCCACAAAGGAUAUAACUAUGUGAAAACUUCCAUUCUACUGUACACAUUUUCCUUAUGUAUUUGCCGAUGCCGGGCACUAAGUUAGUCCCACCUUAGCUACAGUGACCAGUGCUGCAGUAAACACUGGUGUGCAGGUGUCUCUGUAAUCUGAUGACCUGGAGUUCUUCAGGACCCUCUAGAACUCACCCCUGUGGAAGCUGCUCCUGUUGACAUGAAAAUCCUAUCAACAUUGCUCAUUCCAUCUGAGGUUAGCAUCACUGUCCACUGGAACUUUCUUUGAUGACAGAAAUGCUCUUUGUGAGUUUCAGUAGGGAGCCUUCCUCCCAUAUGUGGCUGUGAGUACAUGAGUUAUGGCUAGUGUGACUCAGAAACUGGAUUUUAAUUUGAUUUCUUUCUAAUUGAUUUACAUGUGAAUAGCUUCAUAUGGUCAGUGGCUCCUGUGUGUUGGACAACACAGUUCCAAUGUGACCCUCCUUCUCCUGCUGAGCCUCUCCCAUGUUGUCCCCAGGUUGAACACUUGCCUGUCCUACCCUGCUUUGUAUGUAUUAAUCCCCGCUGAAUUCACCAAGAUGAAAAACAUCUGCUUUGCCACCUAAUUUGCAUAAUAAGUAACAUUAUGCUUAUUAUUUUGAAUGAGAAGAGUGUAACUUGAAUUAAAUGCCACCAAAAAGUUGUCAAAACCUC